AGUUCUCUGGCUAAUUUCUCUUGAAACUCUUGAAAAGUCUUAAAAAUCCACCAGGUGCAGACACAUAGCAAUAAUACAAGCCAAAUAAAGAGGUCCCUGCUCAUAUUUUAAGGCCCUCCCCUUGUUUGUGUAAUCUAGCCUUGCUCUUGCAGGCAGAGCUGAUGUUUGCCCACUAUACCCUUAUAUAGCAUAUACGAUUAUAUCACAAUGGGUCUUUCACUAAGUGACAAAUUCCUCAAGUCAUAGUGUUGUGGGCUAGAUUGGGCCAAAAUGAAUAUACCAAGCUUUACCUUUUACUCAGAGAAGAAUUCUAAGUACAGGCUCAAACACGGCAUGCAGCAUGAUGUUUAUUUAGAAAGUGAGAAUAUACAGGCCCAUGAGGGUUUCAUUUAGGGAGAUUUAGCCAGGAAAGGUGAAGGAGGAAUUCCAUACGCUGCUCUGCUUGUCCUGGGUUCACAGGUGAGGAGAGAGAAAAGGGAGAGCCCCUCCCCUUCACCGGGCUUUUACUAGCUGCCAACAGCAGAGGGCUUACAGAGUGCUGCCCCCAGUUUCCAGAAAUGGGAAGAAACUAGACCUGAAUUUCCCUCCUCUGGCAAUAAAUGGAAGCUGUCCCCACCAGUUUGCUGCAAUCCCCAGAAACCUACCUAGGAUUUCCCCAGCCAGCCUCACUCACUUAAGAAAAAUAUUCUACAAUGAGACAUUUAAAAACAUGACUCACAUUAAGGACAGAGAUCCUACAGAAGGACUUCCUCUAGAAACUCCGCUUUGUCCAUGUGGCUGGUUGUGUCCUGGAAUAUGUUCAUUGAAGGCCAGAAAAUGGCUCAGUGAUUGAUAUUAGGCCAGCCAUUGAAGACUACAUCCUGCCAUUGAUGCGGCUGCCUGGAGUGGAAAAGUGCAACAUCUUUGGAUGUACAUCCUUUUUCAGGACAGAGAAGCAAGCUGUAAAGAACAUUGAACCCAGAUUCCAAAGAAAAGAUGGAUCUAAUAAAUUAAGAAUCUACUAGGUGCCAGACUCUUAAUUUUCACAAUUUUAGUGGUUAGUACCAAGUACUUUUCUAGUGCUUUAAAAAUAUUUAUUUAAUUCUCACAAUAAUCCUAUGAGAUAAAUAGGAGACUGGGUAUAGAGAUGUUAAUUAAUAUGUUCAAGGACACACAACUAAUAGGACCAGAGAUAGCAUUUUUGUAAAAAUAAAUUUAUUUUUAUAUUCACUUGAAGGGCAGUGAGAGAGAAAGGGGGGGGGGAAGAGAGAGAGAGAGAGAGAGAGAGAGAUUUCCUUACCACCACUUCACUUCCCCAAAUGCCCCGGACAGCU